AUUGAACGCUGGCGGCAUGCCUUACACAUGCAAGUCGAACGGCAGCACGGGUGCUUGCACCUGGUGGCGAGUGGCGAACGGGUGAGUAAUACAUCGGAACAUGUCCUGUAGUGGGGGAUAGCCCGGCGAAAGCCGGAUUAAUACCGCAUACGAUCUACGGCUGAAAGCGGGGGACCUUCGGGCCUCGCGCUAUCGGGUUGGCCGAUGGCUGAUUAGCUAGUUGGUGGGGUAAAGGCCUACCAAGGCGACGAUCAGUAGCUGGUCUGAGAGGACGACCAGCCACACUGGGACUGGGACACGGCCCAGACUCCUACGGGAGGCAGCAGUGGGGAAUUUUGGACAAUGGGCGAAAGCCUGAUCCAGCAAUGCCGCGUGUGUGAAGAAGGCCUUCGGGUUGUAAAGCACUUUUGUCCGGAAAGAAAUCCUUGGCCCUAAUACGGUCGGGGGAUGACGGUACCGGAAGAAUAAGCACCGGCUAACUACGUG
rnacentral:rRNA from 1 species